rnacentral:ncRNA from 1 species
GUUUCAGGGCGAGGUGUGAUUCCUCACCGGUGGUAAAGUCCACGAGCGGAAGCAUUGAUAAAGAAUGCUCCUGCCGAUUCGGUGUAAUUCCGAAACCGACGGUAUAGUCCGGAUGAAAGAAA